rnacentral:tRNA from 1 species
ACCCGUCUAGCUCAGUCGGUAGAGCGCUGGCCUUUUAAGCCAGUGGUCGUGGGUUCGGCCCCACGGGGGGUG